rnacentral:rRNA from 1 species
GAUGAACGCUGGCGGCGUGCUUAACACAUGCAAGUCGAACGAAGCAACUUAUCACGAUCCCUUCGGGGGUGACGAUUUGUUGACUGAGUGGCGGACGGGUGAGUAACGCGUGGGUAACCUACCUUGUACAGGGGGACAACAGUUGGAAACGACUGCUAAUACCGCAUAAGCGCACGGUACCACAUGGUACAGUGUGAAAAGUAUUUUCGGUACAAGAUGGACCCGCGUCUGAUUAGCUAGUUGGUGGGGUAACGGCCCACCAAGACGACGAUCAGUAGCCGGCUUGAGAGAGUGAACGGCCACAUUGGGACUGAGACACGGCCCAAACUCC